rnacentral:antisense_RNA from 1 species
CGUUAUGGCGGCUGUGCGUGGGCACGCUUCGGCGUGGCCGGUUUCCUAUUUGACCGGUUUCUCACCCUGCGUACAGUCGCCUCCAAU